AAAAGAAACCAACAGGGAUUGCCCCAGUAACGGCGAGUGAAGCGGCAACAGCUCAGAUUUGGAAUCUGGCCCCCAGGGCCCGAGUUGUAAUCUGGAGAGGAUGCUUCUGGCGCGGCGCCUUCCGAGUUCCCUGGAACGGGACGCCGGAGAGGGUGAGAGCCCCGUACGGUUGGACGCCUAGCCUUUGUGAAGCUCCUUCGACGAGUCGAGUAGUUUGGGAAUGCUGCUCAAAAUGGGAGGUAAAUUUCUUCUAAAGCUAAAUACCGGCCAGAGACCGAUAGCGCACAAGUAGAGUGAUCGAAAGAUGAAAAGCACUUUGAAAAGAGGGUCAAACAGUACGUGAAAUUGUUGAAAGGGAAGCGCCCGUGGCCAGACUUGUGCCCCGCGGACCACCCGGCGCCCUCAGCGCCGGUGCACUCCGCGGGGCGCAGGCCAGCAUCGGUUUUCCUAGGGGGAUAAAGGCGGCGGGAACGUGGCUCCUCCGGGAGUGUUAUAGCCCGCCGUGCCAUGCCCCUGGGGGGACCGAGGACCGCGCUUCGGCAAGGAUGCUGGCGUAAUGGCCACCGGCGACCCGUCUUGAAACACGGACCAAGGAGUCAAGCAUUGGGGCGAGUGUCUGGGUGCCAAACCCGCACGCGAAAUGAAAGUGAACGCAGGUGAGAGCUUCGGCGCAUCAUCGACCGAUCCUGAUGUUCUCGGAUGGAUUUGAGUAAGAGCCUUACCGCUUGGACCCGAAAGAUGGUGAACUAUGCCUGUAUAGGGUGAAGCCAGAGGAAACUCUGGUGGAGGCUCGCAGCGGUUCUGACGUGCAAAUCGAUCGUCAAAUA
rnacentral:rRNA from 1 species